UAGGGAAUCUUCGGCAAUGGACGAAAGUCUGACCGAGCAACGCCGCGUGAGUGAAGAAGGUUUUCGGAUCGUAAAACUCUGUUGUUAGAGAAGAACAAGGACGUUAGUAACUGAACGUCCCCUGACGGUAUCUAACCAGAAAGCCACGGCUAACUACGUGCCAGCAGCCGCGGUAAUACGUAGGUGGCAAGCGUUGUCCGGAUUUAUUGGGCGUAAAGCGAGCGCAGGCGGUUUCUUAAGUCUGAUGUGAAAGCCCCCGGCUCAACCGGGGAGGGGCAUUGGAAACUGGGAGACUUGAGUGCAGAAGAGGAGAGUGGAAUUCCAUGUGUAGCGGUGAAAUGCGUAGAUAUAUGGAGGAACACCAGUGGCGAAGGCGGCUCGCUGGUCUGUAACUGACGCUGAGGCUCGAAAGCGUGGGGAGCAAACAGG
rnacentral:rRNA from 1 species